AAUAAUGAUUUUUUAUAAAGAACUUUAUCAGGUUAAAAUGAAACGAUAAUUUUUGAACAAGAAAUGUCAAUAUAGUCCUCUGCCAAUGAGGGGGUGUAAAACUUUAGCAAACAUUAUAUUAAAUAUUUAAACUUUGGAAACAUUUUGAUACUGGCAAAGAACAAAAUAAUGAUACUCAUCAUCAUUAAUGUGCAACUUUCAGCCAGUGUGGGUAAAUCAGUGUAAACCUUGGAAAAAGGAGGAUGAAACAUAAUUAUUUGCAGAUGAUAAAAUAUUCCUUUCUUUAGAAAAUUCAAAAUACACAUCAAAAAAACCCAAUUAUUAGAAUAUAAAAAUGAUGAAACAUGACCAGAAAACACAUCAACAUAUAACAAAGUCUUUCCAAUGAGUCAAGAGUAACAAAUUAGAAAAUCUAGUGAAGAGUCUCAAUUCACCAAGCAGUUUAACCAUUAAGAUUCAAAUGAUACCAAACCCUUCCAUGUAAUAUCUACAUGCUACAAACGAUAAAAACUUAACUAAUAAACAUCAAAGUUAUGAACAAAUUGAGAUUAAAAACAAUGUCCUUGGAUAAAAAGACACAAUUUUAAAGAUACUACCUAAUUAGACUCAAUAAGAAGCUAGUGGGAAUGGAAUAAUUGGUCAAGGCUAAUUGCAAUUCUAGGCCUUCAGCAAUUUUUGUUUGGUGAGGUCAUUACAGGGGUUUUCUUCAACAAGAAAAAAGUCAUAUAAUAACCAGAAUGAAAUAUAUUUGAUCUCAGACUAGAACACUGAAAUAAAUACCAAAGGGAAAAAAAUAAUGGAUAAGUAUUAAUCCUUACUUUGUCAAAAACAAUAAGCAUAUAUAUUUUUUUUAGGGUCACACCCAUGGCAUAUAGAAAUUCCCAGGCUAGGAGUUGAAUCAGAUCUGUAGCUGCUGGCCUACACCAUAGACACAGCAACACCAGAUCCAAGACAUCAUGGCAAUGUCACAUCCUUAACCCACUGAGUGAGGCCAGGGAUCAAACCUGCUUCUUCACGGAUACUAAUUGAGUUUGUUACCACUGAGCCACAAUGGAAACUCCCAAUAAGCAUAAUUUUUAAAAAGAAACUAUAGAUCAAGCUUUCCAACAGUCAAAGUAAUGGAAUGUUUAGAUACAACCUGACAAAUAUUUGUCCAAGUUGAUACAGUUGCAAUUUGUCCUGUGCACAAGUGUGCUUCCUGGAAAUUUAGAUAACUGGAUUUCAUGGACUAAAACGAGAAGAUUUUUUUAAUUCCAAGGCAGCACAGAUUUGUUGAUUUGUAUCUAAUAAAGCUUAUGUAACUGCUUAUAUGUGUAAUUAUUUAUUUUUCAAAUUCCUUCAAUCAAUUUCAAAUACCUAUAAAAAACUUGAUUCAGUUAGUUCAGACUCUUAUGGAAAAUUUAUGGAACUUUUUAAAAAACUAUGAGUAAACUUUAAGCAGAGUCCUUUACUAUAAGAUUUCUUAAGUUUUAGUAAUUUAGGGAAAUAAGUUUUAGUAAUUUAAUAUACAUUAUAAAUAUAUAAAAAGAAUACAAUAGGUUGCCUUUUUCCCAAAUAUCUAAGUCACAGAAACUAUUUUUAACAGGAAUUAUUUCAAAAUUACUGUUUCAUAAUUGGUAACAUAAUUUUUGAAAAACGUUUUCUUCUUAAGAUAAUUGGUUGACAUGGGAGGAAUAGAUCAAUUUAGACAAAACACUGUCAACAUGCUAGAUUAUCACUACCUGUUCUAUGGGAAAUUUAAUGGGAAUCAGUCUCUGAGUUCAGACCCGGGCAUGAUUUAAAGGUGGCUCAGCAAUAUUUCACCAUAGGUCAACAGCAAAGCAAAAUUCAGGAAUGAAGAAAAUGUACACAGAAGGAAAUCAAUGUAAUCUUCCCAUUAUACACAAACUCACACCAUUAACUAACAGUCUCCUCUGUGACCUGAUGUACAUGCUUACAACAUGAAGAGGGUACUCGAGAGAGCAGUGAAAUGGAUUAAAAGCUUUGACGACAAGGUUUAUCUAAGAAAGGUUACAAGAAUGAUUUGGCCUCAGAUGAGAUUUCAGAGAAGCGUGAUAGCAGAUUUUAAGGAUAUGUAGGAAUAUUAUUGUUCACCUGCUGGUGGCCAUUUCUGUUGAAAUGAAGGAAAAAGGAACAAAAGUCUAAGCGUACAAGAAGAAUUUAAUUUAAAUCUGAAUGAUGACUACUCAUGAAAUGUAUUUCUCUAAGUUAUAUCAGAAUAAUGUAUAUUAUAUCUAAAUUGUUUAGGUUGAUACUGUCAUGAAGUAAAGGGAUAGAGUUAAUGAUCUUGGAGGUCACAAAUUCUGAAAAUAAUGUAUUAUUAUGUGUGUGUACAUGUCUGUUGAUAAAUAUAUCAUCUAAAUAUUGCAUAGACACUAGUUAUUUAUUGGGAGAUUAAUUUAACCCAGAAUAAUUAUUCUAAAUGUUUAAUAUAAUGGAUAUUAUAAUUAAAAAUUAAACUUAGUUCUUGAUACUAGGAGGUCAAUUCCUAAAAUGUAUUUUAGGUUGUUAUUUCCCUAAAGGCAAAAAGAAAGGGAAAGAGUCUUCAUUUCUCCUGAAGAAAUUAUGUCCAUUGUCAGUGACUGCCCGAAGAGAGUAAGCAUGCCUGACUUUUAGUUUCUUUUCCAUUGUAUUAUCUAGCUCGAAUGGUGCUUUAAAUACAUAAUUUCUUAUUAGGUUAAAAUCCUUUUGAAUCAUUUUGAGAUCUUAAAUAAUUAUAGUUCAGGAGCUCUGUCAUGGCGCAGUGGCUAAUAGACCUGACUAGUAUCCAUGAGGACGUGGCUUUGCUCAGUAGGUUAAGGAUCCAGUGUUGCUGUGAGCUCUGGGGUAGGUCACAGGUCACAGGCGCUCGGCUUGGAUCCAGCGUUUCUGUGGCUGUGGCAAAGGCUGGCAGCUACAGCUCCGAUUCGACCCCUAGCCAGGAAACCGCCAUAUGCCGCAGGUGUGACCCUAAAAAAGCCAAAAGCUAAAAUAAUAAUAAUAAUAAUUAUAGUUCAAGGCCUUAUUUUAUUUUAAACAAUGUUUAUGCAUAUUACAUCUUCAGCAGAAUCAUUCACAGUAAACUAGUUAUGAAGACAACUCAAAUUUUAAAAAAACUUUAAAAGCAUCAUUUUAUCACACUUUAAAAGGUUGUACCCUCCUUCCCCUCCACCCCUACGGUGAAGGUAUGAAGACACCAAUGUAUGACAUUUUUGCAAUCCUAAAAUUUUUGAGUGCCUUUCUACUUUACCUUAAAACUGAACCCCAUGUGUUUCAACCACUAAGUAAGAAACGUGUGAGGAAAUUCAUCCCAUUGUUGAAGAUAUAAGACAAUCAGUGUAAUGAUUUUUGAGAAAGAAGAGAGCUAGGGGUUUACAUCUCACUUCUGUAAAGAAUGAGAUAACAGAAGACUUUCCUGCUGGAUGAGCACCCUACAGGUACCACAGGGGGCUGGAGCACAUGAGUUGGGCUAAGUUCAUCACAUAAAAAGGGGAAUCUGUCUUAAUUUGUACUUUUCCCCCCAGGCUUCAAAUCCGUUUUAAAAAUGGACUGAAGCAAUAACUAAAGGGAUGUGCACCCCCAAUAAAAUCACAAUUUUGAAUGGCAGCCUUGCUACUUGGAGAAAAUUCGUCAUAAUUCAAUUGUUUCUAUUGAGAGGAAACAAAUGUAAACUCAGCUACCUGGACCUAGCCAUUGAACUUAGAUAAUUAUUUCCCAAAUAGAAAAGAACAUCCUGUUUUUCUUUGGCAUGCUCUGGUGUCUGUUAGCUUUGCUUUUUAUAGAUUUAAUUGAAAUUUCAUAAUCACAGAGUUCAAACACAGAACAGAUUUGAGUCAGUACUCUGGAACAAUAUCAUUCCCUUAGAGUUCUCCCUGCUGAGAAGGAAAAAAAUUAUAUUCCAAUGCUUUUAUUAGACUUUGUGCUUCUCCUGAUUCUCAGUAUAAGACUCUGUGCUCUAAGGAUACAUGCUAUUAAAGAAAAGCCUGAGGCAAAACUCAAAAGGGGAGUGAGGCAGGUGAGCUCACCUAGAUUAUGGGUUCAGCAAGUUUACUGGAGAAUUG
rnacentral:lncRNA from 1 species